CAAAAGCGAUACACUCUCCAUUGAAAGUAAGAACCAAAGGUCGUCCACCCACAAAGAGAAAACAAUCUAAGGUUGAACAAAUUGUGAAGAAAUCAUUUGCAAAGGCCCGAAAGAAGCUAUGAGUACUGGUUUUUUGGCUGACGAUGGAAUGAAAAUUCAGGUAGAAAUUGCAAGUAUAAUGGUAUAAGGCUUUGUUUUCCAUUUCCAUGCAAUUUGUGGUUUAUUCCAGUG